UCCGAGUUGUCCCCGGCAGUCUCCUAUGAGUCCCCACCAUAACGUGCUGGCAACAUAAGAUAAGGGUUGCGCUCGUUGCGGGACUUAACCCAACAUCUCACGACACGAGCUGACGACAGCCAUGCACCACCUGCACACAGGCCACAAGGGAAUGCCUAUCUCUAGACACGUCCUGUGCAUGUCAAACCCAGGUAAGGUUCUUCGCGUUGCAUCGAAUUAAUCCACAUGCUCCGCCGCUUGUGCGGGCCCCCGUCAAUUUCUUUGAGUUUUAGCCUUGCGGCCGUACUCCCCAGGCGGGGUACUUAAUGCGUUAGCUACGGCACGGAUCCCAAGGAAGGAAACCCACACCUAGUGCCCAACGUUUACGGCGUGGACUAC
rnacentral:misc_RNA from 1 species